UAUGGAAGCAGAAAUUGUUAUUAAGCGCUAGGAAGUCCUGGACGGUGGUCU
rnacentral:rRNA from 1 species